UCCGCAAAUGUGCACUCUUCAGUGUCUCCUUCUGCCUUUUGAAACUCAUCUCUACAGCCAAACCACCUCCUUCUCUCGCAAGGAUACAUACACAGGAAGAGCAUAUCUGAGAAUAACCUCCAAUUUGCAUAAAAUAAAGAAGAAAAUACAUAAAGAAAACUGUAAUUCCGAGACAAACACCUCAUUGAAGAGCACAGUUAUCAAAAAACACACCUAAAAAGAAAACUGUUUAC
rnacentral:lncRNA from 1 species